CGUUGUUUCUUGUUUUGUAUAGUGUUCACGUUAUUGAUUAAUUAAAUUCAAAGAUGAACGCGACCUCCGCUGCGUAUUGGUCUACUUUGUCAGAUGAGGACCUCUCUAUUUCUUCUGAAGACGAAGACAACUGUGACAAGAGAUGACUGAAGAAAUUUGAAAUGGACCCUCAGAUCCUAAAGAAGUUCCACAACUGCACCAUCAAGAGCAUCUUGACCGGCAGCAUCACCGACUGGGAUGGCAACUACACUGCCCUCAACCGCAAGGCUCUACAGAGGAUGGAUGUCGGUGGACAGAGCCGGGAGGGUCGUCAGCGAAAUGGGACAAACCUGGGCCUGGGUGUGUCCCGGAGUGAAUACACCUUUUCCUCAUUCAUUGAGGACACUCUCUCCAUGUAGACACACUGUAGGAUUUUGGUUGUAGCAUUUUUUUGUGGCUGUUUUGUUUGUUUGCUCGCUUGUUUGUUUGUUUGUUUGCUUGCUUUGGCACCUUUCAACACCCCUCAUUAUCACAUCUAUGCACGCAACCACUCACUUACACUGCUG
rnacentral:lncRNA from 1 species